UACGAAGGGGGCUAGCGUUGCUCGGAAUCACUGGGCGUAAAGGGUGCGUAGGCGGGUCUUUAAGUUAGAGGUGAAAGCCCGGGGCUCAACUCCGGAAUUGCCUUUAAAACUGCAUCGCUAGAAUUGUGGAGAGGUAAGUGGAAUUCCGAGUGUAGAGGUGAAAUUCGUAGAUAUUCGGAAGAACACCAGUGGCGAAGGCGACUUACUGGACACAUAUUGACGCUGAGGUGCGAAAGCGUGGGGAGCAAACAGG
rnacentral:rRNA from 1 species